rnacentral:tRNA from 1 species
UAGCUCAGUUGGGAGAGCAUCGCCCUUACAAGGCGAGGGUCACUGGUUCAAGUCCAGU